UACGGAGGAUCCAAGCGUUGUCCGGAUUUAUUGGGUUUAAAGGGUGCGUAGGCGGGUUAUUAAGUCAGUGGUGAAAGCCGGCAGCUCAACUGUCGAACUGCCAUUGAAACUGAUAGCCUAGAAUCUAGUAGAGGUAGGCGGAAUGUAUCAUGUAGCGGUGAAAUGCUUAGAUAUGAUACAGUAACACCAAUUGCGAAAGCAGCUUACUAUGCUAGUAUUGACGCUGAGGCACGAAAGCGUGGGGAUCAAACAGG
rnacentral:rRNA from 1 species